GCAUUCACUUUGGUAGCACAUACACUAAGAUUGGAAUGAUACAGCGAAGAAUGGUAUCCCCCUGUGCAGGAUGAUACCCAAACUCACAAGGUGUUCUAAAAUUUU